UGCUGAAUAGAAAUGUCCCCAAAUGGAAUGACCAAAGACCACCGCUCACUGUAGAAAUGUACCAAGAGAAUGAAUGGACACUCUGCAGACUGUUCUGGAAGGAUUUCUUACACAAGUAGUAAUGAAGCGGAGGACCAGAAGAGUUCCGAUGACUUUCCCAUGUCCCCAGACCAGCUGGAAGCAUCAAGCCUUUCUGCCUUCUACUUCUUUCAUGAUAUUAUACUACGUCCUUCUCGCCGAGUGGCCGGGAAUGAGAGGCCCGAGUCAGCUUCUAAACACGUAUGUAAAUACAGACUCAAGUAGAAAAGGAUGUGUCCCAUGAACAUACAGGGGUUAUUCAGGCCAAGUCUCAUCUAAAAUUACUUUUCUGUCCUGCUCCUGUCUUUUCCCUAACUUCUCAAUCAUUUGUUCAAUAAUAAGCAUACAAAGAGAUCCUACUGUG